rnacentral:rRNA from 1 species
UGACCUUAUACAUAAUAACACACUGUGAACCGUGGCUUCGGCCCAAACUUGAAGUCUUGAAUGUAAUAUAUCAUAACAAAAUACAACUUUUAACAACGGAUCUCUUGGCUCUCGCAUCGAUGAAGAACGCAGCGAAAUGCGAUAAGUAAUGUGAAUUGCAGAAUUCAGUGAAUCAUCGAAUCUUUGAACGCACCUUGCACCCUCUGGUAUUCCGGAGGGCAUGCCUGUUUGAGUGUCAUGAACACCUCACCCCCUCGGGUUUCCGAUCGGGUGGAUUUGGGUGCUGCCAGUUACAUGGCUCGCCUUAAAUGUAUUAGCGGUUGUUGACGUAAUAAGUUUCGUCUUGUCGACCGCUUCUAAUCUCCUUCGGGAUGUCUUCGGACACUUCAUGAUCUGACCUCAAAUCAGGUAGGACUACCCGCUGAACUUAAGCAUAUCAAUAA